GCUGGGUGCAGUGGUUCAUGCCUGUAAUCCCAGCAGCUUGGGAGGCUGAGAUAGGAGGAUCCCAGAUUCAAAGCCAGCCUCAUCAACAGGGAGGCGCUAAGCAACUCAGUGAGACCCUGUCUCUA
rnacentral:sRNA from 1 species